rnacentral:rRNA from 1 species
UACGGAGGGGGCAAGCGUUGUUCGGAAUUACUGGGCGUAAAGGGCGCGCAGGCGGCUGCUCAAGUCAGGCGUGAAAGGCCUGGGCUCAACCCGGGAAUUGCGCUUGAGACUGGGCUGGCUUGAGUGCGGGAGAGGAUGGUGGAAUUCCCAGUGUAGAGGUGAAAUUCGUAGAUAUCCGGAGGAACACCGGUGGCGAAGGCGGCUUCCUGGACCGACACUGACGCUGAGGCGCGAAAGCUAGGGGAGCAAACGGG